rnacentral:rRNA from 1 species
UACGAAGGGGCUAGCGUUGCUCGGAAUCACUGGGCGUAAAGCGCACGUAGGCGGAUUGUUAAGUCAGGGGUGAAAUCCUGGAGCUCAACUCCAGAACUGCCUUUGAUACUGGCGAUCUUGAGUUCGGGAGAGGUGAGUGGAACUGCGAGUGUAGAGGUGAAAUUCGUAGAUAUUACGCAAGAACACCAGUGGCGAAGGCG